AAGGGCACACAGGUACACUCAAAUUCAUCUAAAGAUGUUCAUCUCAAUUUCCUGGCUCUCCCACUUGCCCUCACUUCUUCACAAAGGGAAAAACUGCUGUUGGAAACAGAGGAAGAAGGGCGGUCAAAAAAAAAAAAAGUUGUAAAUCCCUGUAUAGACAUCUCACCUGUGAGAUCUCAGAAGAAAAGCAAAUGGAAAGCUCAAAUGGAAAUUCUUCAAAGCAGGCCAAAAUUGCGGAUAGCCGUCUUGGUCCAUUAAAUGAAAUCCAAACGCAUUAGUCAUCGUUGCCGUAUUAUAGCCCUGCUGCUUUUGAACAUAUAAAUGGACCCCAAACAUCCCUUCUGCAUUUGGAGAAUUGGGCGGAAAUGUAUGUUAAAUAGCCUAUUCGAAGCACUAUUUCCAGGGACAUAAUGGGAAAUGCACAAACAUGUCUCUUUAGAACAGUAACAAACCAUCACUUUGAGAUGCCCAGCUGAUGAGAAGGAAAUAUAACAAAACGAAAAACCCAAGUAAAAUAAAAAAGUACGCUAUUCUGGCCUUGAGAA
rnacentral:lncRNA from 1 species